UACGUAGGUGGCAAGCGUUGUCCGGAACUAUUGGGCGUAAAGGGUGCGCAGGUGGCGGCGCGUGGGGGGUGAAAUCGCCCGGCUUAACUGGGCGGGGGCCUUCCAGACGGCGUGGCUUGAGCAGCGGAGGGGGACGUGGAAUUCCGGGUGGAGCGGUGAAAUGCGUAGAGAUCCGGAGGAACACCGACGGCGCAGGCAGCGUCCUGGCCGCUUGCUGACACUGAGGCACGAAAGCUGGGGGAGCAAACAGG
rnacentral:rRNA from 1 species